rnacentral:tRNA from 1 species
UCCCUGGUGGCCUAGCAGGUUAAGGGCCUGGCCUUGUCACUGCUGUGGAGCAGGUUCGAUCCCUGGCCUGGGAA